GACGAACGCUGGCGGCGUGCCUAAUACAUGCAAGUAGAACGCUGAAGGAGGAGCUUGCUUCUCUGGAUGAGUUGCGAACGGGUGAGUAACGCGUAGGUAACCUGCCUGGUAGCGGGGGAUAACUAUUGGAAACGAUAGCUAAUACCGCAUAAGAGUAGAUGUCGCAUGACAUUUGCUUAAAAGGUGCAAUUGCAUCACUACCAGAUGGACCUGCGUUGUAUUAGCUAGUUGGUGAGGUAACGGCUCACCAAGGCAACGAUACAUAGCCGACCUGAGAGGGGGAUCGGCCACACUGGGAAUGAGACACGGCCCAGACUCCUACGGGAGGCAGCAGUAGGGAAUCUUCGGCAAUGGACGGAAGGCUGACCGAGCAACGCCGCGUGAGUGAAGAAGGGUUUCGGAUCGUAAAGCUCUGUUGUAAGAGAAGAACGAGUGUGAGAGUGGAAAGUUCACACUGUGACGGUAUCUUACCAGAAAGGGACGGCUAACUACGUG
rnacentral:rRNA from 1 species